AAACCAUUCCAUGGUUCUCUGAUUCAAACAAAGCAUUUUUCAUGCUGAUGAUCAUACUAAGCCAUUGCUGCUCAUUUUCUCUACCCUGUAUUCUGCAGUCGAGUAAAGGAGCAGGCGUGAAGGGAUUUGCCAAGUGAACCUGAGAGAUGACAGCUUUUAAACUUGUUUGUGUCCCAGCAGUUUUGCAUUUAGCCCAUCAGCAUGUGAUGCUCUUUACUGUGCAAAACUGGCUUUAUGGAGUUAUUUGCAAGAUGACUUCAGUGGGAUGGAAAAAUCUUCCUCCAGGCAGAUGUUCCCAUCCUCAUCUCUGUUUGUUUCUCUAAUGUGUGUGUUGCAUGUAUUUUGCAAGUAAAUAAAUGCCUUUAGUUUUGAGUUGCGAAGAGAACUAAAGCAUCUCUUCUGUGCUUCCUUUCUCAGCAAAAGGUAUGAGAGGAGGGAAGUGUUAUCUGACCCCCAGAUGUUAUCCUGAGCCUGCUCCCUGGCAAGGAUGAAGGCUCCAGGAGACUUCUCCCACUUCCCAGCUUGAUGGUAGGACUGUGCAGAGCAGCUGGGAGGAGUUUCUCAUUACAGGGACUGGUUUCCUCAGCCUCUUUUAAUAGGUCCUCUGUGCUGUGGCUAAUACACGGUGCCUGGGAGAGUGAGUGGCCACGGUGCAGCAUCCUUCUCACAGCAAGAGGGCUUUGUGGGAUGACUGUUCUCCGUAUCCUCGUGGAAGUUUGAUCCCUAUCUCCGCCCUCGCUAGUUAUUCCUGUGUGAAUAGAAUAAGCUAAAAUCUCCUGCUGGUUUUGGCACUUCUGAGGUCCUCAUCCCAAGAGGGACAUCGUGUGAGCCGUGGUGGAGGUGAAGCCGGAGCUCGCUGCUGGGAAGGAGGAUCCCAUGGUGCUGGAUGUGGGGACGUGGGUGCUGCUGCCGUGACCCCCAUGGUUCUGCAGUGGUUUGUUCCCCAGGGUGGGAUCUGUGGCUGCUGUCUGAAAGGCUCUGGGAUUUGGGCAGGAAAAGGGCCUGGUCAAGGCCAGGUUGGACACAGGGGCUUGGAGCAGCCUGGUCUAAUGGAAGGAGUCCUUGCCCAUGGCAGGGGCAUUGGAAUGGGAUGGUGCUUUCCAAGCCA